GAGUAAAGAUUUCGGUCGCUUUGGGAGGAGCUCGCUUACUAUCAGCUUGUUGGUAGGGUAAUGGCCUACCAAGGCUAUGACGGUUAGGGGGUGUGAGAGCAUGACCCCCAGCAUUGGCACUGAAACACUGGCCAAACACCUACGGGUGGCUGCAGUCGAGAAUCUUCCACAAUGGGGGAAACCCUGAUGGAGCGGUGCUGCGUGCGGGAUGAAGGCCUUCGGGUUGUAAACCGCUUUUGUAGGGGACGAAAUUUUUGACGGUACCCUUUCGAAUAAGAGGUUGCUAACUCUGUGCCAGCAGCAGCGGUAAUACAGAGACCUCAAGCGUUAUCCGGAUUUACUGGGCGUAAAGCGUCUGUAGGGGGUUUAUUAAGUUCCAAGUAAAAUUUCAAGGCUCAACUUUGAAUUCGCUUGGAAAACUAAUAAACUGGAGUCUAGCAGAGGUGCAUGGAACUUGUGGUGUAGAAGUGAAAUCCGUUAAUAUCACAAGGAACACCAAAGGCGAAGGCAUUGCACUGGGCUAGCACUGACCCUGAGAGACGAAAGCGUGGGGAGCAAAACGGAUUAGAUACCCGUGUAGUCCACGCCCUAAACGAUGAAUGCUAAAUGUUCGGGGAUUCGACCCCCUGGGUGUUACAGCUAACGCGUUAAGCAUUCCGCCUGGGAAGUACGGCCGCAAGGCUAAAACUCAAAGGAAUAGACGGGGAUCCGCACAAGCGGUGGAGCGUCUGGUUUAAUUCGACAGUAAGCGUGGUACCUCACCAGGGUUUGACAUCCCUUGACAGCCUUGGAAACAAGGUUUCCUUCGGGCAAGGUGACAGGUGCUGCAUGGUCGUCGUCAGUUCGUGCCGUGAGGUGUUCCGUUAAGUCGGGAAACGAACGAAACCCCUAUUGCAUGUUACAAUUUCUCAUGCAAGACUGCCCGGAUAUACUGGGAGGAAGGUGGGGAUGACGUCAGAUCUGCAUGGUCCUUAUACCCUGGGCGACACAGGCGCUACAAUGGCAGAGACAAAGGGUUGCAAAACCGCAAGGUGAAGCUAAUCCCAAAAACUUUGUCUAAGUUCGGAUUGAAGGCUGCAAUUCGCCUUCAUGAAGCUGGAAUCGCUAGUAAUCGUGAAUCAGCCACGUCACGGUGAAUAUGUUCCCGGAUCUUGUACUCACCGCCCGUCGCACCAAGAGAGUUGGUAGCUCCCGA
rnacentral:rRNA from 1 species